rnacentral:rRNA from 1 species
AUUGAACGCUGGCGGCAGGCCUAACACAUGCAAGUCGAGCGGAUGAAGGGAGCUUGCUCCUGGAUUCAGCGGCGGACGGGUGAGUAAUGCCUAGGAAUCUGCCUGGUAGUGGGGGAUAACGUCCGGAAACGGGCGCUAAUACCGCAUACGUCCUGAGGGAGAAAGUGGGGGAUCUUCGGACCUCACGCUAUCAGAUGAGCCUAGGUCGGAUUAGCUAGUUGGUGGGGUAAAGGCCUACCAAGGCGACGAUCCGUAACUGGUCUGAGAGGAUGAUCAGUCACACUGGAACUGAGACACGGUCCAGACUCCUACGGUAGGCAGCAGUGGAGAAUAUUGGACAAUGGGCGAAAGCCUGAUCCAGCCAUGCCGCGUGUGUGAAGAAGGUCUUCGGAUUGUAAAGCACUUUAAGUUGGGAGGAAGGGCAGUAAGUUAAUACCUUGCUGUUUUGACGUUACCAACAGAAUAAGCACCGGCUAACUUCGUG